UGCAAUACAUGUACCGCUUUUUUAUACAAGAUACUACGUCAAAAGGAGGGCGACCGGUAAUAUAAUACACGAACAAUCCCUCGGGACAUAGAAGAGGAGAUGGAUUCUCGCGGAACUACGCGGACAAAGACUCUCCCUUCGUCGAGUAUUCCCCAGGAACGAACUCCUGUCUCCCGAAUCCGGCUCGACCAUCUCGGAUUUUGCGAUGCGAUGAGUCGAUGUUGCGCACAUAUAAAAUCACAAAAUUUUUUGGGAUAUUUAUCGUUCAAUUAUUGAUGCAAAAAGGAGAAGUUCGACAAUGCGAAUCCUUUAAUACGAGACAGGACCGUGUAUCUUUUUUAACGAUGCUCCGACAAAUAAAUGAAACAAUAGGGUAAGAGUACACGAGUACAAACAUGAUGGUAAUGGUCGCUGGUAAAACCGGGAACCAAGGCUGAGACCGGGAGAUUACGAUCUGCUGGCCAUUGUGCGUUUUACGGUGCGUGGCACGCACGAGAGGUGGCUGGCGUUAACGUCAAAAGGCGUUACUCGCUUGAAUUGGCUCACCUGGCGGUCGCGGAAGGUAUCUGAUCGAAGGUAUAUCUCGACCUCGACGAGAUCCACAGUGGAUUCUAAUGUGAUCACUUUGUUUCAUCCCCCUGGACCACGCAUCGCCUGGUGGGUGCCUUUCACAUCCGCUAACGGAAAUCGAAUUUGCCGACCUCUAACUCUUAACCCGCAUUUUUUUGGACGCAACCGGAUCCUCCCGUACAUUGUCUGCCUUCGCGAAAAAUUUUGCUACAAUAAAUUGUAAUUAUUUUCUAUGUUUAUAGAAUGCGCAGGAUUUAUUACAAUUGUAG